rnacentral:rRNA from 1 species
GUGAGGAAUUUUGCGCAAUGGGGGCAACCCUGACGCAGCGACGCCGCGUGGAGGACGAAGUCUUUCGGGAUGUAAACUCCUGUCAGUGGGGACGAUAAUGACGGUACCCACAGAGGAAGCACCGGCUAACUCCGUGCAAGCAGCCGCGGUAUGACGGAGGGUGCAAGAGUUGUUCGGAAUUACUGGGCGUAAAGCGUACGUAGGCGGCAAGUUAAGUUCAAUGUUAAAGCCCACGGCUCAACCGAGUAGAUGCAUUGAAUACUGGCUAGCUGGAGUGUGUUAGCGGAAGACAGAAUUCCCAGUGUAUCGGUGAAAUGCGUAGAUAUUGGGAGGAACAUCGUUAGCGAAAGCGGUCUUCUGGGACACACCUGACGCUGAGGUACGAAAGCGUGGGGAGCAAACGGGAUUAGAUACCCUUGUAGUCC